rnacentral:rRNA from 13 species
CAUGGAGGUAGCGCACUGGAUUGGCGAUGGGGCUUCCCGCUUACUGACCCAACUCAAACGACGAAUGCCGUGGUGGGAAUCCGGGAGUGAGACUACGGGUGCUAAGAUUCGUGGUCGAAAGGGAAACAGCCCAGACCGCCGGCUAAGGUCCCCAAGUCCAGACUAAGUGGGCAAGGUAGUUGCGACGCGUAAACAACCAGGAGGUUGGCUUAGA